rnacentral:rRNA from 1 species
AUUGAACGCUGGCGGCAGGCCUAACACAUGCAAGUCGAGCGGAUGAGAAGAGCUUGCUCUUCGAUUCAGCGGCGGACGGGUGAGUAAUGCCUAGGAAUCUGCCUGGUAGUGGGGGACAACGUUUCGAAAGGAACGCUAAUACCGCAUACGUCCUACGGGAGAAAGCAGGGGACCUUCGGGCCUUGCGCUAUCAGAUGAGCCUAGGUCGGAUUAGCUAGUUGGUGGGGUAAUGGCUCACCAAGGCGACGAUCCGUAACUGGUCUGAGAGGAUGAUCAGGCACACUGGAACUGAGACACGGUCCAGACUCCUACGGGAGGCAGCAGUGGGGAAUAUUGGACAAUGGGCGAAAGCCUGAUCCAGCCAUGCCGCGUGUGUGAAGAAGGUCUUCGGAUUGUAAAGCACUUUAAGUUGGGAGGAAGGGCAGUAAGCUAAUACCUUGCUGUUUUGACGUUACCGACAGAAUAAGCACCGGCUAACUCUGUGCCAGCAGCCGCAGUAAAAC